GCGCAGCCGGCUUCUAGGAUUAAAUUGACCAAUCAUUUCCCGGCCGGCGGAGAGCUGCGCGGCCAAUUACACUCCGCGCCGAACUAUAUUAAGCCAAUCAAGGCUAGUUUAUCACUCAGUCGAGUAUCUGCCCUCGCGGCGAACACAUCAGCUCCUGCUCUGCUCGAUUCUUCUGCGCUUUUUCUCUCUCUACUCUUCUCGUUCGUACUUUUGGUGAUAUUACAUAUUUUCUCUCUCGUCGAUUACAUGGAAGUGCCUGUGUGCCAAGUUCUUCCGCCGCGGAGGUGUGGCUGCAGCGGCCGGAUGGAUUAUCACAGGCUGUAGUUCGGGCGUGUACGCGGUGGAAGAUGAUAGAAUUGAUGCAGAAGAUUCGAUGGACGAUUUGGAGAAAAAUUUUCGCAAAAUCCCGUCCUGUUCCUAAGUACUAGUGCCGCAGGAGUGACUAGAUUGGGCUAGAAAUUACCGCGUCUCCUGCUGCUCAAGUGCUUAUCAAUGGUUCGGGACGCACGACAAUGUAUACUUUGCGAAAAUGUUCGAUUCAGCGUGUUUGCGAACUUCGAUUGCGGCCAGUGCGCUGAAAGUUUAUAAAAUUAAGUUGAGUUGUAAAACAUCACAGAUGUUAUGUAUGAUUAGUGUUUUUGUAUUGUGAUAUUUAAUAAAGUGUAUAUAUACAUAUUUACGAGAAAACAUAUAUUGUUUGUAUUAUGUAAAAUAUAUUGAAAUAAUUUAAUAAAGAAAGUACAUCCCUGUA
rnacentral:lncRNA from 12 species